UACGUAGGCAGCGAGCGUUUGUUCGGAGUUACUGGGCGUAAAGAGUGCGUAGGCGGUUUUCUAAGUUUGGUGUGAAAUCUCCCGGCUUAACUGGGAGGGUGCGCCGAAAACUGGAAGGCUUGAGUAUGGGAGGGGUAAGCGGAAUUCCUGGUGUAGCGGUGAAAUGCGCAGAUAUCAGGAAGAACACCCGUGGCGAAGGCGGCUCUCUGGGACGGUACUGACGCUGAGACGCGAAAGCGUGGGGAGCGAACAGG
rnacentral:rRNA from 1 species